UAAGGUGGUUGGUUGCGUCAUUUUGUUCCCAUAUGCCCUAAAUUGUAAACUUCACAUAUACGUCAAUUGCGUCAUAUGAUUUUAAUAUUGUGGUGUUAUCCAAUCAUCCCUGAGUUUUGUAUUUUUUUUUAUGGUUUUUGAAUAAAACCCAAUUCGUUUAUUAUUAAUUAGUGUUUGCUGAAUUGUGUUCGGUAUCCUGCAUAACUUGUUAAUCAGGUAGAAAUUACAAGAAUAAAACAGCAUGGAACUGUUAUCAAGGCAUAUAGUUGUUUGAAAUAUAAUAUUUAAUGCUUAAUAACCUACUGUACAUGAAUUCCAUAUGAAGGAAUUUGGUUGUGGUUAAUUGGAACUGCUUAUAUCUAUAAGUUCGUAUGGAGGCGUGGGGCUCCAUAACCACGCCCAUUUCAACAAGCUUUCAUCGAUGAUUUCGUGCAAUCGACCUGUCAAGAUGAUGCCUUUGUUUGAUGCCUUGGAGGUCGACCUUUUUGUUUCAAUAAACAUUCUACCAAAACUUUUUGGUAGCAAUUACGAAGCAAGCAUGUGAGGACAUAUGUUUUCCAGUAGUAUUUGUUUACUACGUUUUCCAUACUGAAGUAACUUUCUGUCUUCCAGGCAUUUGAAAUUGCUUUCAACAAACAGACAUGUCGGUUCCAUGUUCCAGAAUACUAAAAUAAUUGAAUAUAAUAUAAUUCUUUAUAAUAUAAAAUAUGAGUAUAUAAGGAAACUAUGAACAAGGCCAGAAGAAUACUUUACUCAAAAGUGGGGACAAUUCAUACUGUUUAUUAUAGAGGAGCUGGAUUAUAGAAGUAAUACCCCAGAACGGAUUUGAUUGAAAUGUAUACCAGGAAUUUAUACCUACAUCAAAUUAAGAAAAAAUACUAGUAUGUAGCUGAUUCUGUAUUUUCAAGUAAAUAGUAAAAUAAACCCUUAGAUGUAUGCCGACAAAGCAAUCCUCAAUCAUUCUGAGAUAUUUUAAACUUUUUUCUGUUAAUUUUAUUAAAAUGUUUACCCGUAUACAAUUUCUUUCAAAUAUGGUAAUAUAAAGAACUGCCUUUAUUUUAACCUAAUAAGUUCCUAAGAUAUAUCUUAGUUCCCUGUAAUAAUUUGAAGGUAAAUUUUAAAG